CAUGCUUUACACAUGCAAGUCGAACGGGGUGAGGGGGCAACUCCUCAUCUAGUGGCGAACGGGUGAGUAAUGCAUCGGAACGUGUCCCGUAGUGGGGGAUAACCCGGCGAAAGCCGGACUAAUACCGCAUAUGCUCUACGGAGGAAAGUGGGGGAUCCGCAAGGACCUCACGCUAUGGGAGCGGCCGAUGUCCGAUUAGCUUGUUGGUGGGGUAAUGGCCUACCAAGGCGACGAUCGGUAGCUGGUCUGAGAGGAUGAUCAGCCACACUGGGACUGAGACACGGCCCAGACUCCUACGGGAGGCAGCAGUGGGGAAUUUUGGACAAUGGGGGCAACCCUGAUCCAGCCAUGCCGCGUGCGGGAAGAAGGCCUUCGGGUUGUAAACCGCUUUUAGUCGGUAAGAAAAGGCACGGGUGAAUACCCCGUGCUUUUGACGGUACCGGCGGAAUAAGCACCGGCUAACUACGUGCCAGCAGCCGCGGUAAUACGUAGGGUGCGAGCGUUAAUCGGAUUUACUGGGCGUAAAGCGUGCGCAGGCGGUUCGUCGUGUCCGAUGUGAAAGCCCCGGGCUCAACCUGGGAAUGGCAUUGGAAACUGGCGGACUCGAGUGUGGCAGAGGGGGGUGGAAUUCCGCGUGUAGCAGUGAAAUGCGUAGAGUU
rnacentral:rRNA from 1 species